UGUAUCUUCCUCUUGAGCAGGUCAAAUGUGAGUUCCUCCAGCCCCUGUGCCUGGAUCUUUUCCAGCCCAAUGGUCUUGAGCAUCUGGGUAGCUUCAAAGCGAUCCUAAGGGAAGGGACAGGAGAUCUAAUGUCUCUUCUGACCUGUAUGGGCACUAAGAACACACAUGGUACACAAACAUGCAGGAGCUGCUUUAAAGUUCUUCUCUGGUGAUGCCGUUAUCUGGUUCACCUCAGAGCUGGUCUCUACUGCUUCCCGUUGAGUCAUUUUGGAUUGUGUCUUGCACACUAUGAAUAUUAUAUUGUGGUGACUCUAGAUUCUACCAUACUGCUCUAAUGAGUUUUCUGUCUUUGUUCCACCAGGCCAUGAGCUCAGGUUCAAACUGCAAACUGUUGUGGACAGCUGAUCUUAGUUUCAUUCUUUAGCUGCCAAAUGCUUUUAUUCUAACCAAAUUUGUUUUGCCAGAACUGUGGACUGAAUUUGUACAAAGACUUUGGGAUUUCCCUCUGCUGGCUUUCCCCAUUUCUGUGGUUCCCCUCUAUUCUUCAUGGCAACUGUUGCCCAGGCUCGUUCCUCUGCUCCAUUGUGCAGAAAUACCACAUCGUUUCUAUUGGGUUUUAAUGAGCCAUAUCCAUCCUCAACAGCAGCUUCAGUUGACCUCAUGUUACUAGAGGUCAAAGCCUGGGUCCUGACCACCCUAACAAGCUCUCAAGACACUUGGUAAAGAGACAAGCCAUAGUGAAAAGCAGAGGAAGGAGAUUUAUUCAGUGUGGCCACCGUAGGAAGAGAUCAUCGACAAUCCCUCUCAGGUCCUUUUUUGGGAGGGAGGAAGUAGAACUGCUCAAGACAGGAUUUCUCUGUGUAGCUUUGACUGUCCUGGAACUUGCUCUGUAGACCAGACUGGACUUGAACUCUGAGAUCUGUCUGCUUCUGUCUCCCUGAGUGCUGGAAUUAAAGACAUGCACCACCACUGCCUGGCCCAAGUCCUUCCUUGGGGUACUGACAUGUGAUUCAGAUUUGAGUAGAGGACAAUAGGUGUUGAUAACUAAGCAGUCCGCUCAAGGUGUGGUGUGGCCCAUCAUUGACCCAUCAUUGGCUCUUGUCUGGCUUGCAAGGUGGCCUGACAAGUUGUCAGAACUGGGAGAAAAAUUCCUCCUCUAGUGGCACCGAUCUUCUUCAGAUUUCCCCCCUAUCCCCACCAGAUGUCUGGGGAAAUUUCAUUUCUUCAGGCUCAUUAUUUCAGUAAUUUGAUAGCUGAAGGGAGGAUGUUAUAGUAUACUUCCUUGUUGCCAUAAAUAAACACACUGAGCAAAAGCAACUUGGGGAGGAAAGGUUUUAUUUUAGUUUACAGGCUAUAGUCCACCAUCUAGGGGAGUUGGCAGGAACUCAGGCAGGAGCUUGAAGUAGAAACCAAUGGAGGAAUACUGCUAAUUGGUUUGCUCUCUGGCUUGCUCAGCUAACUUUUUAUAGCCCAGGCCCACCUGUCUAGGGGUGGUGCUGACCACAGUGAAGAUGGGCCCUCCUACAUCAAUUAGCUAUCAAGAAAAUGCCCUACAGACAUGCCCAUAAACCAAUCUGUUGGAGAUAAUCCCUUAACUGAGGGUCCCUCUUCUUAGGUGUCUCUAGUUUAUGACAAAAACCAGCACUGAGGAAUAUAAGUAUCUCUUGAGACUAUCUUUUAUCUGUCUGUCUAUUUAUUUUUAUUGAGACAAGAUUCACUUUGUAGCUCUAUCUUUAGAUUAUCUUCGCUAGGGGCUGCUAACUGCUCUUCCAGAGGACCUGGGCUUGAUUCACAGCACCCACAUGGCAGCUUGCAGCUCACACACAACUCACAACCAUCUGUAACUCCAGUUCCAGAGAAUGCCCUUUUCUGGCCUCUCUGGUACACAGACAUACAUGCAGGUAAUGCAAAGGCAAAAGCUAACCUGUAAACCUCACUUGUCCAAGGACAGAUAACUUCCUAGAAUGCUGGAGGCUGUUGUUUUUAUGGGAGAUAAUAAACCACAUGAUUUCUAUCCCCUCGACAAUUUUUUUUUUACUCAGUUCCACCGAAUGUGCUUGACUACAUGUAGGCAGGAGGUAUGUGGGCAGGGAAUAAGUCAGAAUGUGUAUGCUUGCCCCUGAUUGGAUGUGGGCAGGAGGUACACAGGCAGGAAGCACACCAGGAUACAUGCUUGCCCCCCGAUUGGAAGGAUGGAAAAUAUGGUGGCCUUACAGUUUUGUCUUUUUAAGUCUCUGCAAAAUGUGACUCAUUUUCUGGUAACCCAGGAAUGGACCUGGCCAUUAUCCCGGCCAAUAUUUAAUUAAAGCUUGCUUCAA